CUUAUCCUCCAAUUUUCAUAAUUUUCUGAGACUGUGCAUUUUCUGCUAAUUUAUCUGUCCCGUUUCCAACAGAAAAUUUUAAAUCUUCUGUUUUCAUUCCGAUUUCAGCACAAGUCUCUUCUAACUUAUGUUUUACUUCUACUAAUCCAAUAAAAAUAGUAUCUCACUCUAUUUUUAUUUAUUUUUAUUUUUAUACCAAAAUCUGGUAUGUUACAUUGAAGCUUUAAAAGAGAGAGAGAGAGAGAGAAGUUUGGUUGGAAUAGAAGCUUGAGUCUCUUGCCCGAGCAAUCGGCGCGCGCGUGUGUUUUUUUGUGUUUCGACGUCGCGGUUAGUAUCACAAUAUUAUUAUUUCUCAUUUAGAUUCUUUUAAUAAAUUUUUGAUAGAAAUUGAUAGUUAGAGACUGAUUUUUUUAUAUAUUUUAGGAGUGAAUUUCGCGUAAUUUUGACGAGGGAUUUUCAAGUUAUUUUAGAGUAUUGUGGCUGCUAUCCCGCCUAAUGUUCAUUUUCUUGGAAUUGCAUUAUAGGUAGGUUCUGUGUUGUCAAAAUUGACAGACUAAUUUCUAUGUCCAUGUUAUAUUAUUUAACCUGCAAGAUGAACUGUUGACAUAGUUGAGAUAAUAGUGAUAAUUUGACAUUUGCUAAUAGAGCAAAU
rnacentral:lncRNA from 1 species